rnacentral:pre_miRNA from 1 species
GGGGGGAGGUCAAUCCUGGGCUGUUUUCCGGCGCCCUGUGCUCCGGAACCUGCGCUGUUGGAUUCGCGCUCCCGGCUGUGCAGCCCCCU